CCUACGGUGGCAGCAGUGGGGAAUAUUGGACAAUGGGCGAAAGCCUGAUCCAGCCAUGCCGCGUGUGUGAAGAAGGCCUUCGGGUUGUAAAGCACUUUCAGUGGGGAAGAAAGCCUUGGGGCUAAUACCCUCGAGGAAGGACAUCACCCACAGAAGAAGCACCGGCUAACUCCGUGCCAGCAGCCGCGGUAAUACGGAGGGUGCGAGCGUUAAUCGGAAUUACUGGGCGUAAAGCGCGCGUAGGCGGUCUGAUAAGCCGGUUGUGAAAGCCCCGGGCUCAACCUGGGAACGGCAUCCGGAACUGUCAGGCUAGAGUGCAGGAGAGGAAGGUAGAAUUCCCGGUGUAGCGGUGAAAUGCGUAGAGAUCGGGAGGAAUACCAGUGGCGAAGGCGGCCUUCUGGACUGACACUGACGCUGAGGUGCGAAAGCGUGGGUAGCAAACAGGAUUAGAUACCCGGGUAGUC
rnacentral:rRNA from 1 species